GACAGAGGCCACGAACGUUGUUCGGAAUUACUGGGCGUAAAGGGCUCGUAGGUGGCCAACUAAGUCAGACGUGAAAUCCCCAGGCUCAACUUGGGAACUGCGUCUGAUACUGGAUGGCUUGAAUUCGGGAGAGGGAUGCAGAAUUCCAGGUGUAGCGGUGAAAUGCGUAGAUAUCGAGAGGAACACCUGCGGCGAAGGCGGGUUGCUGGGCUGACACUGACGCUGAGGCGCGAAAGCUAGGGGAGCGAACGGG
rnacentral:rRNA from 1 species